rnacentral:lncRNA from 1 species
CAGGGGUCAGCCCCACCUACUAGAUCACUGAUUCAAUCCAGCUCAGCCAAAGCAGGCAGCCCGCCCAAGCGACUGGCCUCAUCCAACUGAGAGAAUUCAGCAGCUGGCCUGGUUUCAUGUGUUUACAACCUGCACAGACACAGAAGACACCACACUAUGAAGAGAGCCAGGCUUAAUGUUAUGUUGUGACCAUCUUGCAAUUCUUGAUAAUUUUUUCUUAGAAUUUGUGUUUUGAAGGUGAAGUCUUGGGAUCAAUGGAGUAUGCAAGUGGAAUACGUAUAAUACGUAUGUCUGCCCUUCCUUGCCACCACAUUCUGCUCUUCCUUGCCAUCGCUUCACAAAGACAUGUGUGACGCCCCCAUAAACACAGAAUUACAUUGGAUCCACAAUAGUGGAAGUCAGUGAGACGCAAAGCAAGCAUAAGGUAAUGUGUGAUGUCUACAAUUGAGCAUGGGUACUGCAAACCCCAAGAGGACACCCUUUCUGUUCAAGCAAGAACUUGCUCCAAAAGCAAAAGGAAGGCAAUGGCAUUCUAAGAAAUAUAUAUACACCCAAGGAAACCUAUCCUACCGUCUCUUAUUCAUCUUAUUUCCAUGCAUUAGCCAAGUGCAUACACUGAAAAUGAUGACUUGGAAAGAAAGGGAAAGAUGCAG